rnacentral:rRNA from 1 species
GACGAACGCUGGCGGCGUGCUUAACACAUGCAAGUCGAACGGAAAGGCCCUGCUUUUGUGGGUUGCUCGAGUGGCGAACGGGUGAGUAACACGUGAGUAACCUGCCCUUGACUUUGUGAUAACUUCAGGAAACUGGGGCUAAUACCGGAUAUGAGCUCCUGCUGCAUGGUGGUGGUUGGAAAGUUUCGGCGGUUGGGGAUGGACUCGCGGCUUAUCAGCUUGUUGGUGUGGUAGUGGCUUACCAAGGCUUUGACGGGUAGCCGGCCUGAGAGGGUGACCGGCCACCUUGGGACUGAGAUACGGACCAGAAUCCUACGGGAGGCAGCAGUGGGGAAUAUUGCAGAAUGGGCGGAAGCCUGAUGCAGCAACGCCGCGUGCGGGAUGACGGCCUUCGGGUUGUAAACCGAUUUCGACUGUGACGAAGCGUGAGUGACGGUAAUGGGUAAAGAAGCAACGGCUAACUACGUG